rnacentral:rRNA from 1 species
GGUUAAGCGACUAAGCGUACACGGUGGAUGCCCUGGCAGUCAGAGGCGAUGAAGGACGUGCUAAUCUGCGAUAAGCGUCGGUAAGGUGAUAUGAACCGUUAUAACCGGCGAUUUCCGAAUGGGGAAACCCAGUGUGAUUCGUCACACUAUCAUUAACUGAAUCCAUAGGUUAAUGAGGCGAACCGGGGGAACUGAAACAUCUAAGUACCCCGAGGAAAAGAAAUCAACCGAGAUUCCCCCAGUAGCGGCGAGCGAACGGGGAGCAGCCCAGAGCCUGAAUCAGUGUGUGUGUUAGUGGAAGCGUCUGGAAAGGCGUGCGAUACAGGGUGACAGCCCCGUACACAAAAAUGCACAUACUGUGAGCUCGAUGAGUAGGGCGGGACACGUGGUAUCCUGUCUGAAUAUGGGGGGACCAUCCUCCAAGGCUAAAUACUCCUGACUGACCGAUAGUGAACCAGUACCGUGAGGGAAAGGCGAAAAGAACCCCGGCGAGGGGAGUGAAAAAGAACCUGAAACCGUGUACGUACAAGCAGUGGGAGCACGCUUAGGCGUGUGACUGCGUACCUUUUGUAUAAUGGGUCAGCGACUUAUAUUCUGUAGCAAGGUUAACCGAAUAGGGGAGCCGAAGGGAAACCGAGUCUUAACUGGGCGUUAAGUUGCAGGGUAUAGACCCGAAACCCGGUGAUCUAGCCAUGGGCAGGUUGAAGGUUGGGUAACACUAACUGGAGGACCGAACCGACUAAUGUUGAAAAAUUAGCGGAUGACUUGUGGCUGGGGGUGAAAGGCCAAUCAAACCGGGAGAUAGCUGGUUCUCCCCGAAAGCUAUUUAGGUAGCGCCUCGUGAAUUCAUCUCCGGGGGUAGAGCACUGUUUCGGCAAGGGGGUCAUCCCGACUUACCAACCCGAUGCAAACUGCGAAUACCGGAGAAUGUUAUUACGGGAGACACACGGCGGGUGCUAACGUCCGUCGUGAAGAGGGAAACAACCCAGACCGCCAGCUAAGGUCCCAAAGUCAUGGUUAAGUGGGAAACGAUGUGGGAAGGCCCAGACAGCCAGGAUGUUGGCUUAGAAGCAGCCAUCAUUUAAAGAAAGCGUAAUAGCUCACUGGUCGAGUCGGCCUGCGCGGAAGAUGUAACGGGGCUAAACCAUGCACCGAAGCUGCGGCAGCGACGCUUAUGCGUUGUUGGGUAGGGGAGCGUUCUGUAAGCCUGUGAAGGUGUGCUGUGAGGUAUGCUGGAGGUAUCAGAAGUGCGAAUGCUGACAUAAGUAACGAUAAAGCGGGUGAAAAGCCCGCUCGCCGGAAGACCAAGGGUUCCUGUCCAACGUUAAUCGGGGCAGGGUGAGUCGACCCCUAAGGCGAGGCCGAAAGGCGUAGUCGAUGGGAAACAGGUUAAUAUUCCUGUACUUGGUGUUACUGCGAAGGGGGGACGGAGAAGGCUAUGUUGGCCGGGCGACGGUUGUCCCGGUUUAAGCGUGUAGGCUGGUUUUCCAGGCAAAUCCGGAAAAUCAAGGCCGAGGCGUGAUGACGAGGCACUACGGUGCUGAAGCAACAAAUGCCCUGCUUCCAGGAAAAGCCUCUAAGCAUCAGGUAACAUCAAAUCGUACCCCAAACCGACACAGGUGGUCAGGUAGAGAAUACCAAGGCGCUUGAGAGAACUCGGGUGAAGGAACUAGGCAAAAUGGUGCCGUAACUUCGGGAGAAGGCACGCUGAUACGUAGGUGAAGCGACUUGCUCGUGGAGCUGAAAUCAGUCGAAGAUACCAGCUGGCUGCAACUGUUUAUUAAAAACACAGCACUGUGCAAACACGAAAGUGGACGUAUACGGUGUGACGCCUGCCCGGUGCCGGAAGGUUAAUUGAUGGGGUUAGCGCAAGCGAAGCUCUUGAUCGAAGCCCCGGUAAACGGCGGCCGUAACUAUAACGGUCCUAAGGUAGCGAAAUUCCUUGUCGGGUAAGUUCCGACCUGCACGAAUGGCGUAAUGAUGGCCAGGCUGUCUCCACCCGAGACUCAGUGAAAUUGAACUCGCUGUGAAGAUGCAGUGUACCCGCGGCAAGACGGAAAGACCCCGUGAACCUUUACUAUAGCUUGACACUGAACAUUGAGCCUUGAUGUGUAGGAUAGGUGGGAGGCUUUGAAGUGUGGACGCCAGUCUGCAUGGAGCCGACCUUGAAAUACCACCCUUUAAUGUUUGAUGUUCUAACGUGGACCCGUGAUCCGGGUUGCGGACAGUGUCUGGUGGGUAGUUUGACUGGGGCGGUCUCCUCCUAAAGAGUAACGGAGGAGCACGAAGGUUGGCUAAUCCUGGUCGGACAUCAGGAGGUUAGUGCAAUGGCAUAAGCCAGCUUGACUGCGAGCGUGACGGCGCGAGCAGGUGCGAAAGCAGGUCAUAGUGAUCCGGUGGUUCUGAAUGGAAGGGCCAUCGCUCAACGGAUAAAAGGUACUCCGGGGAUAACAGGCUGAUACCGCCCAAGAGUUCAUAUCGACGGCGGUGUUUGGCACCUCGAUGUCGGCUCAUCACAUCCUGGGGCUGAAGUAGGUCCCAAGGGUAUGGCUGUUCGCCAUUUAAAGUGGUACGCGAGCUGGGUUUAGAACGUCGUGAGACAGUUCGGUCCCUAUCUGCCGUGGGCGCUGGAGAACUGAGGGGGGCUGCUCCUAGUACGAGAGGACCGGAGUGGACGCAUCACUGGUGUUCGGGUUGUCAUGCCAAUGGCACUGCCCGGUAGCUAAAUGCGGAAGAGAUAAGUGCUGAAAGCAUCUAAGCACGAAACUUGCCCCGAGAUGAGUUCUCCCUGACCCUUUAAGGGUCCUGAAGGAACGUUGAAGACGACGACGUUGAUAGGCCGGGUGUGUAAGCGCAGCGAUGCG